AAGCAACACAAGCAGAUGAUCAAAACUGUCUGACACAAUUUGAGCUUGCAAUAGCAAGAAAGUCUAACUUAUACUGGUGUUCUCCAUGAGAAAAACUGUUAUAUAAACUUAAACAAU
rnacentral:snoRNA from 1 species